AAAGCUCAAAUUUGAAAUCCCCCCGGGGAGUUGUAAUUUGAAGAUUGCGUCUUGGAGGCGACCGUGUCUAUGUUCCUUGGAACAGGACGUCACAGAGGGUGAGAAUCCCGUGCGGCACGGCCCCCGGCUCCUUAUAAGGCGCUCUCGACGAGUCGAGUUGUUUGGGAAUGCAGCUCAAAGUGGGUGGUAAAUUCCAUCUAAAGCUAAAUACAGGCGAGAGACCGAUAGCGAACAAGUACAGUGAUGGAAAGAUGAAAAGCACUUUGAAAAGAGAGUGAAACAGCACGUGAAAUUGUUGAAAGGGAAGGGCAUGCCGUCAGAUUGUCAGUGUGGGUAAGAAGCGGGGUACAAAGACUGUGGAACGUGGCCCUCGGGUGUUAUAGCCGCAGUUCAUGCCCCGUCUCUUUCCGAGGCCUGCUUUGAGGACACCGACGUAAUGACGGUACGCCGCCCGUCUUGAACCACGGACCAUGCGUCGCCCUUUGUGGCGGGGCGGCCUUCUUUUUUUUUUUUUCUGGGUGCGCCG
rnacentral:rRNA from 1 species